rnacentral:rRNA from 1 species
GACGUAGGGGGCGAGCGUUGUCCGGAUUUAUUGGGCGUAAAGAGCGUGUAGGCGGCCAGGCAGGUCUGUUGUGAAAACUGGAGGCUUAACCUCCAGACGUCGACAGAAACCGCUUGGCUAGAGUCCGGAAGAGGAGAGUGGAAUUCCUGGUGUAGCGGUGAAAUGCGCAGAUAUCAGGAAGAACACCAAUGGCGAAGGCAGCUCUCUGGGACGGUACUGACGCUGAGACGCGAAAGCGUGGGGAGCAAACAGG